rnacentral:rRNA from 1 species
CACCUCUAGCCAAAUAACAUAUAUUAGAGGCACUGCCUGCCCAGUGAUUACAUUCAACGGCCGCGGUAUUCUGACCGUGCAAAGGUAGCAUAAUCAUUUGUCUUUUAAAUAAAGACUAGUAUGAACGGCAACACGAAAGCUCAACUGUCUCCUUUAUUCAGUCAAUGAAAUUGAUCCUCUCGUACAAAAGCGAGAAUAUAUUAACAAGACGAGAAGACCCUAUGGAACUUUAAAUACUAAACCAUUUUUAUACCACAUCCAAACAUAAAAAAUUGGCAUAUUAUUUUUGGUUGGGGUGACCACGGAGAAAAAUUCAACCUCCGAUGAUACAACACUAAGACAUAACAUAAUCAAAGUACUAAAACCUUAGAUUUAUGACCCAAUAAACUUGAUCAACGAACCAAGCUACCCUAGGGAUAACAGCGCAAUCUUCUCCAAGAGCCCAUAUCGACAAGAAGGUUUACGACCUCGAUGUUGGAUCAGGAUUACCAGACAGUGCAGCCGCCGUCUAAGGUUUGUUUGUUCAACAAUUAAUAAUCCU